GACGAACGCUGGCGGCGUGCCUAACACAUGCAAGUCGAGCGGAGAAUAUAGCAAUAUAUUCUUAGCGGCGGACGGGUGAGUAACGCGUGGGUAACCUGCCUUUUACAGGGGGAUAACACAGGGAAACUUGUGCUAAUACCGCAUAACAUAGCGAAGUGGCAUCACUUUGUUAUCAAAGGAGUAAUCCGGUAGAAGAUGGACCCGCGGCCAAUUAGCUAGUUGGUGAGGUGAAGGCCCACCAAGGCGACGAUUGGUAGCCGAACUGAGAGGUUGAUCGGCCACAUUGGGACUGAGACACGGCCCAGACUCCUACGGGAGGCAGCAGUGGGGAAUAUUGCGCAAUGGGGGAAACCCUGACGCAGCAACGCCGCGUGAAGGAUGAAGGUUUUCGGAUUGUAAACUUCUUUGAUUGGGGAAGAUAAUGGCGGUACCCAAAAAACAAGCCACGGCUAACUACGUGCCAGCCGCCGCAGUAA
rnacentral:rRNA from 1 species